rnacentral:tRNA from 2 species
ACCAAAGUGGUGAAAUUGGCAGACACGCUAGGUUUAGGUUCUAGUUCUUUAACAGAAUAGGGGUUCAAGUCCCCUCUUUGGUA